rnacentral:rRNA from 1 species
GUGCAGAGAUGCACUCCCCGCAAGGUCUCUACACAGGUGGUGCAUGGUUGUCGUCAGCUCGUGUCGUGAGAUGUUGGGUUAAGUCCCGCAACGAGCGCAACCCCUGUGAUUUGUUGCCACCCGGUUUACCGGAGCACUCGAAUCAGACUGCCUCGAUCAACGAGGAGGAAGGUGGGGAUGACGUCAAGUCCGUAUGGCCCUUACGACCAGGGCUGCACACGUACUACAAUGCCCAGUACAAUAUGAACCGAGACCGCGAGGUGGAGGAAAUCAAUAAAACUGGGCUCAGUUCAGAUUGGA